GAUGAAGAACGUAGCGAAAUGCGAUAAGUAAUGUGAAUUGCAGAAUUCAGUGAAUCAUCGAAUCUUUGAACGCACAUUGCGCCCUCUGGUAUUCCGGGGGGCAUGCCUGUUCGAGCGUCAUUAUAACCACUCAAGCUCUCGCUUGGUAUUGGGGUUCGCGGUUUCGCGGCCCCUAAAAUCAGUGGCGGUGCCUGUCGGCUCUACGCGUAGUAAUACUCCUCGCGAUUGAGUCCGGUAGGUCUACUUGCCAGCAACCCCUAAUUUUUUUUAAGGUUGACCUCGGAUCAGGUAGGGAUACCCGCUGAACUUAAGCAUAUCAAUAAGCGGAGGA
rnacentral:misc_RNA from 1 species